GUGUAAAUCCAGCACCUAAUUCCACACGCCCACUUACGGUGGUACAUCAGCCAAGAACCGCGCUUUCCGAGGCUGGUUUUCCCACAGUAAGCUGGGACUGGGAACCCAUCUCUCCCAGGCAACAGCCACUUCCUGGCUCCAGUUAAGGAGCCAGAAAGAGAAACCACAGAAACCUAAAGGACAGGAGAGGACGCCUCCAGUCUAGGUGCGUAUGCUCCACAGGCACCACUCGCGCGCUCCUGUCCCCUGACCCUGGCUGGGAGGCAGAGUGGCCAGAGGUCGCAGUCCUCUCAGUUCUGAGCUCCACCAUGGCCCCUGUCAAAGGCCCUCCUACAUAGUCCUGCUGGCCUGCUCUUCUUCCUCUCCACCUACUCAGAGCUGCCCUUUCCAUCUCACAGCAAGUGACUCUCUAAGUUCAAGUUGGUGCCACCACAGAUGACGUCUUUCUUCAGGUCGCUUCUCACAGUCCAUGUCAGUAUUACCCCCACCGCCAUUCCAAGGUCUCAAGUUAGGCUCUCAGACUAAAAUUCCUGCUUUAUUUUCAAGUCCUGGGGAUUGAACCCAAGGCCUACCACAUGCUAGGCAAGAGCUCUACCACUGAACUACAUCUCCAACCAUGUUGAUUUUGAAACAGGGUAUCACUAAAUUGCUGAGGCUGGCCUUGAACUUGUGAUCCUCCUACCUCAACUGUGAUUACACCAUACCCAGCUCCUGAAGUCUGUCCUUCUAAAUGCUGAGUGCGGUCCAGUCCAGGAGACUAUGGAUCAGUGAAAAGUCUGUUUUGCAUUUUCACACAGUAGGUUGAUCACCUCCCCAACGCUAAAGUACCUCUCACUCUACCCUUCAAGAUAUUGGGACGUAACACUCAAUUUUGAAGUAUUGUGGGUGCCAGAAAAGAGUCACACACAAUUAAAAAAAAAAUCUACCCAAGUCCAAAUGGCAUGAACUAGCUACACACAAAGAGAGAAGAGGCCCCCGUGGAUUGAGGAUUAUUAAAUAUGAAGUAUGUUUGUCAGGAAAAAACUUUGUUUAUAUAAACAUUAGAAGCGCCGCCAUGGUAACUCUGCUUGGUUUACUCGGCAGCCCAGUAUGGCCUCACAGCCAAAUUACUGCCUGCCUACAUUUUUUAAAAAACAUCUCUAGCCAAAAUUCCAUGAUCUGCCUGCUUGGUUUCCAAGCUCAGAAAAUAUCACUUAAAAGUACCAGGGAACCAAAAGAAACUUCUGCCAAAGCUUCUAAAUGAAAGCUCAUUUCUCACACACACACACACACACACACACACACACACACACACACAAGUUUUUGCCAAACUACAGUAUGCUUUUCUUUUUUUAUGUGACCCAAGUUUCCUUAGGCCUCAUAAGGUUGCAGGGCCAAUAAAAUAACAUUAACAUAUGAGCAAGGGUAACUCAUAUUCCAUUCGUUCUAGGUUUUUCUCCCACCUGCUCACAAAAGCUGUGAGCCUCCUAGAAGUGCUCCUGAGUAGUUUAGGGGUGUGCUUAGAUGCAGCCUACUAUAUCCACUGCCAGUGACAGCCAGGCCUAGCUCAGAAGAGAUGUCCACUGGCUUCCCCCAUCACCUCCAAGCUCUCCCUACCAGUCAGGGCAUUUGGUAUGUGUGAGGCCUUUGGUAUGUGAAGAACACCUCUCUACCCUUUGUGUCACAUUCAAUCAACAUAUCCCAAACUAAGCUGUGGUGCCUCCUAUCUUAUUGGCUUUUUCACUAGGAGAUCUCAGUUUACUCACAUGCCCCUGCCCUAUAAAGAAACCAGCCAUGAAUUCAAGGGCUAGUCCAGGUGCUGGCUCGACUCCGGAUUGCACUUCCCGUCAGCAACUAAGGGUCAAUGUGUCACGUCUGCCCCUUAGGAAGCCAUUCAUGCCCUCACCCAAGGAACCUUCUAGUUAGCCUAGCUGCCUCAUUCAGUUAAGUCUGUACCCACUUAUCCCCAGUCGGAGAUCCUUUGUCCAUGAGAGGAGAGAGACCACUAGAGAAAGCCACAGCGACAGCCACCCUCUCUGUGUGGCCGUCUGAGGCAGCUGAGAAGACCUGGGUCUGAGCACUGGGGGGAAAGGAUUGCUCCACUCCAAGGGAAAAGCAAAUUGACAUCAGAUUAUUUUCCUACAGCUUUUCCCACUUCUUAAUAUUUGCCACAUUGCAUUCCACAUUCCAAUUUUCAAAAGGACAGGAGCAUUAAUAAUAUAAAAGAAAGAAGUGAAAUUAACCGGAAUCAAGAACUUUAUUAUUUUCAAGUGUAAAAAAAGCAUGAGAUUUAUGGCUGAGCAUCAAGUAUAGCUUUGACCUGAAAUGUUCUCUUCGAGAUACCAGGGGAACCACCUGGCUUAGAACCAGACCUGCAGGGAUACUGUGACACUUCAAUAAAUCAAAUUAAAGUUAUUUAUUAAGUUGGGUCAGAUUUCGGAUUUCUCAGUUUUUCUUGCUUGCUGUCGUUUUUGCUUUCUUUUAAAGGUUUCUAAAUUUCUUAAUUUAAUAGAGAAUAAGGCCUUCUCUCUCAAUUACCUACUUCCCAUUCGGAUCUGCUGAGUUUUAACUUCCAUAUGUUACUCAGAACACUAAAAGCCCAUUUAUAAAUAUUAAUUCAGGUAAUGACUGUUUAAGAGCUUCAAGGCCCCAAUUCAUUAUCUCUUUUUGAUAUCAGCUCAGGCUUCGAUUCACACAUUUCCAAUUUAACUGAGGGUAGAGGGGAAGCAAAAAAAAAUUACUUUUGGAGAAAAGAAAGUUGACUUGUCCUGGUGUUUCAAGCCAGCAUCCCAGUAAAAACUGAUACCUCUCUUUAGUUCUAGCACCAGUUGAGGAGUAGGGAGAAAGACGCUGAACAUUUUUUAACAUAGAUCAGGACUUCUAUAUCAUUACUUUAUUGAAAGUGCUGUGCAUACAUAAGCAAGGUACAUUUGCACUUUUUGGCACUGAAACCCAGAUCUGCAGGGGCACACAGCACUCCCUCCUCCCAUGUGAAGCUUCAAACACUACACUUGAGCAGUUUCGGUCCAUGCAUGUAAAGAGAUAAAUGUUUCCUGAGCAUUUUAAAGAAUACAUCCCCAUCCCCACCCCAGGAAGACAAAGAAUUGUGGCUCCUACAUAUUCUUGCCUAAGGUUGUACAAUGGGCCCAAAGAAGCUGUGGGAUCUGAAGAUGAUGUUUCUGUCACCUACAGCUAGCUUCUCUUUGGUAAUUGCUAAAAAUGCAUAUUCCUGCACCCCCAUCAUCUGAAUCAUAAUCUCUUUUGUUGACUGGGGAAUCUUUUUGUUUGUUUCUUUGUUCUUUUUAGACAUGCAUGACAGUAGAGUAUUUUUUUUCUGCUUUAAAAAAAUUGUUAGUGCAUGCUAAUUAUUCAGAAUAGUGACUUUUAUUAUGACAUAUUCAUACAUGCAUAUAACUUAUUUUUGUUCUUUUUAGAUAUACAUGACGGUAGAGUAUAUUCUGACAUAUUAUACAUACAUGAAAUAUAAGUUAUUCUAAUUAGGAUCCCAUUAUUGCAGUUGUACAUGAUGUGGAGUUUCACUGGUAGUGUAUUCAAAUGUGAACAUAGGAAAGUUAUGUCCUUAUUCAUUCUACUGUCUUCCUUAUUCCCAUUCCCUCUACUUUCCCUUCCUUCCCUUUAGUCUAAUCCAGUGAGCUUGACUGGUGAUUUUUUUUUUUAAUACCAGGGAUUGAACUCAGGGGCACUUGACCACUGAGCUACAUCCCCAGCCCUAUUUUGUAUUUUAUUUAGAGACGGGGUCUCACUGAAUUGCUUAGCACCUCACUUUUGCUGAGGCUGGCUUUGAACUCGUGAUCCUCCUGCCUCAACCUCUGGAGCCACUGGAAUUAGAGGCAUGAGCCACUUUGCCCAGCUUGACUGGGAAUCUUCAGUUUUGUUUGUUUGUUUGUUUGUUUUUAGAUGGGGUCUCACUGUGUUGCCCAGGCUGGCUUCAAACUCUCUAUCCUCCCAUCUUAACCUCCAAAGUAGCUGGGAUUACAGGCAUGCAUCAUCACAUUCAGAGGAAUCUUUACUUUUUUAGCAGAUUCCUCUGGCACAUUACUAUUUGAGAGUUACUUCACCAAAUUCUAAAAGGAAACUAAAGAAGACAAAGUAG